ACGAACGCUGGCGGCAUGCCUAACACCUGCAAGUCGAACGAGACCUUCGGGUCUAGUGGCGCACGGGUGCGUAACGCGUGGGAACCUGCCCUUAGGUUCGGAAUAACUCCCCGAAAGGGGUGCUAAUACCGGAUAAUGUCUUCGGACCAAAGAUUUAUCGCCUUUGGAUGGGCCCGCGUUGGAUUAGCUAGUUGGUAGGGUAAAAGCCUACCAAGGCGACGAUCCAUAGCUGGUCUGAGAGGAUGAUCAGCCACACUGGGACUGAGACACGGCCCAGACUCCUACGGGAGGCAGCAGUGUGGAAUAUUGGACAAUGGGCGAAAGCCUGAUCCAGCAAUGCGGCGUGAGUGAUGAAGGCCUUAGGGUUGUAAAGCUCUUUUACCCGGGAUGAUAAUGACAGUACCGGGAGAAUAAGCUCCGGCUAACUCCGUG
rnacentral:rRNA from 1 species